UGAGUAACACGUAUGCAAUCCACCUGUAACAGGGGGAUAACCCGGAGAAAUCCGGACUAAUACCCCAUAAUAUGGGCGCUCCGCAUGGAGAGUCCAUUAAAGAGAGCAAUCUUGGUUACAGGCGAGCAUGCGCUCCAUUAGCCAGUUGGCGGGGUAACGGCCCACCAAGGCGACGAUGGAUAGGGGUUCUGAGAGGAAGGUCCCCCACAUUGGAACUGAGACACGGUCCAA
rnacentral:rRNA from 1 species